AGGCCAGUAGCUCUAAUCGGCAGAGCGGCAGACUCCAAAUCUGCGGGUUGGGGGUUCGAAUCCCUCCUGGCCUG
rnacentral:tRNA from 1 species